AUUGAACGCUGGCGGCAGGCCUAACACAUGCAAGUCGAGCGGAUGAGUGGAGCUUGCUCCAUGAUUCAGCGGCGGACGGGUGAGUAAUGCCUAGGAAUCUGCCUGGUAGUGGGGGACAACGUUUCGAAAGGAACGCUAAUACCGCAUACGUCCUACGGGAGAAAGUGGGGGAUCUUCGGACCUCACGCUAUCAGAUGAGCCUAGGUCGGAUUAGCUAGUUGGUGAGGUAAAGGCUCACCAAGGCGACGAUCCGUAACUGGUCUGAGAGGGUGAUCAGUCACACUGGAACUGAGACACGGUCCAGACUCCUACGGGAGGCAGCAGUGGGGAAUAUUGGACAAUGGGCGAAAGCCUGAUCCAGCCAUGCCGCGUGUGUGAAGAAGGUCUUCGGAUUGUAAAGCACUUUAAGUCGGGAGGAAGGGCUGCAGGUUAAUACCUUGCAGCCUUGACGUUACCGACAGAAUAAGCACCGGCUAACUUCGUGCCAGCCGCCGCCGUAAUAC
rnacentral:rRNA from 1 species